GUACUGGAAAAGAGUCUAUACAUGAUUAUAUUUCUGUGUGACCUCUGACCAUGCUUUAUACACUGCAGCACUGCACUGGUACCACUGUGUCUUGGCAGUGAUAUUUGAACAGGAAGUUUAAACUAGAAGAAGUAUGUCUCAACUCACAGCCAAACAAAACAACUGGAAAGGGAAAUAUGAACUCGGACACAAGUGAGAUUAAACAAACUUCCUUGCCGAAGAACAAAAUGUUUCCAGACCCAAGUUUUUCCGGACCUUUAGCCCCCUAGUUUUCAGACACGCUAGAGGAAAUAUGCCUGUCCAAAUGUGGCUACACGGCACGCAAACAUAAGAUACAGUGUAACAAUAUGAUAUCAAAACAGUGUAGUAAUAUCAGUACUAGCGCAGAGCGAUGCACUACACCUACCCACUGUGUUGCUAAUGUUCUCUCCACCAGAGUGGUCCACUGUGACCUGCUUCAUGACCCCUGGAGGUAGCAACCCUGCACCAUCCUGUCUAGGAUUUCCCCCAGUCUCACUCCCCAGAAGAUGCUGGGCCUCCGGGUAUGGGCAACUCUCCUGUGGUGGCUGGGCCUGUAUAUAGGAAGCCGUCUGUAGGGCAGCAGGACAAUGAUAGCUCUCCCACACAUUAUAGCUCCCUCUUAAACCUUCCUUACAAAUCUGCUCAUCCUAAAGGUAGAGACACAUUCUCACACAGUGACCCAUUUGACUUUCGAGAAGUCACCGUUUAUUCUUCUAGCAACACUGCAGAAGUUCGAUACAUACAUUAUGCAAAUAGAGAAUUAGUACUGUACUCACAUUUAUACCAAAUACUGGACCUAAAGGAAUAUAAAAGGAAUCAAGAAAUCAAAAUGCAUAUUGUAUAUGCAUGUAUACACCACAAUGUUUCACUGUCUCCCUAUAAUUAUUGUAAGUGUAUUUAUUUACUGUGUUUUAUAGAAAGGGAAACAUGGCAUAUAAUCUGAUGCAUCACUGCAUAACGUUGUUUGUGUUAUCUAACCACUUUACUCGCUCACCUUUCCACUUGUCUAGGGACUUCAGUGACCUCUCCUUACAACGGACAAAGUAAACAACCAGCAGCACGACAACCCCUAGUAGCCCACCUAUCAGCAGCAGCCAAGGGAGAGUGGAAGGGCUCGGUCCAGUAUCUGUUGCUAAGAGAUGAGAUUAUAUCAGAGGUGUUGGUGAACCCCUCCCGCAUCUGAACUGGCUACAUAGAGGGCACAGCAUGAUCAGAGGUAUGUUUUGAAAGAGGAUGCCAACGUCACCACCUAACCCACUCUUAAGAUAACCUUCGGGCCCACUGGGAGCCCAAGGCUGGUUAGGAGACACCGCUAGAGACUCUACUAGGGACUCUAUUAUGUAAUUGUGAUGAACUGAGUGAAUAUUAGGGUAGUACUGUGAUUCAUUAAUCAUAUGCUGUCUUCAUUGCUCCUCUGUUCUUACCUCUUUCCCUUUCUGUAUUUUACACCUCUCUCGCCACCCCCUCUUUCUUCCUGUUUUUAUAAUGCACACCAGAUGUGCUUUGAAGUACAGAUUACACUUGUAUUUAUAAUAUAUUACAAUUCUAAUAUUUAUAAUGCAUAAUGUAUUUAUAACCCUUGGAUAAUGAACUUCUUUCAAUAAAG
ensembl:lncRNA